CACCCAUGUUUAGUCCUGAGAAGAGAAGGCCAAGGGUGGGGACAUGGUAACAGUCUUCAAAUAUGUAAGAAACUGUUCUAAAGAGGAUGGUGAUCAACCAUGCUUCAUGUCCACUGAGGACCCCAGGCUUAGGAAGAAUGCCUGUUCGCCUUGGGUCUGAGAUGGACCAAGGAACAAUCCUCCUGGAAAUCCGGUUCCAAGCCCGGUUUUAUGACAGAGCAGCACCUUCGCUUUUAUCUUUUGUCCUGGAGGGGAUUUAAUUGUCUGCUCGUCACCCGGGGGGAGCUCGUAGACUCUGCAUUUAAUUCUGUGUGGUUGUUUUCCAUCCCAGACGUGACGAAGUCCCUUCAGAGCCCUGUCUUACAGCUACAGCUCGCCUGAGCAGAAACAUCCGACUCCGUGGGGAGGAAAGGCCAUGUUGUGCUCGCUCUGGGGCUAAAUCUUGGUUGGUUUAAACAAUCUUCUUCUGUUGGCAUCUGA